UACGUGUGGGAGUAGGCUGUCUGCAUAGGAACCGUUCACUGAUGAAUUCUAGAAGACACAGGUCUGGGAUGGCCCUGUGGACACAACUCCGUAAGUGCUCAGCUGAGGCUUUUGGGUGCAGUGUGGGCUGACCGCACGCCCACUCUACAGCAGGGAGGCAGCUGCCCAGGGCUGGUGCUCUGCUGGCGGAGGCCACAUGUGUACUUGGGGGUACAUAGGCAAGCACCGGCAGCCAAGCCCGGCCUGGCCUGUCCU
rnacentral:lncRNA from 1 species